AGAAAUCUAUUUUCCAAUGCCUACAAUCCAACAACAAAACUUUUAAAAUAACUUAAAAUCAUCCCAUCUGGCAACUCUUUCAAUGUGCAUGUAUGAUUUUCAUUCGUCUCUUGGACUUUGGUUUGGCCCAUUGAUUAAUGAUGUGAAAUUUUUAACCUUCAUUGUUUUGUAAAUGACCUGCCAGUCAAUCAUGUUGCGUCGUUUUGUCUUGAAACACCAAUGGAGGGAGCCCCCAUGAAAAAGGAAGAAUGAAAAUGUUAACACAACGUCGUCUGCACAGAGGUCUAAGAAAUUAAAACGGCUCAAGAAUCCAUCCAUCCAUCCGCACAUCCAUCCAUCGACCAUUGGACCAAUGUUGGGAGUGAAGUGCUGCUUGUUGGCGUUGUUAAUAAGAGUGUCCCGUACUGCUACUCCCAUGAAUAUAUGUGCGACAUCUCACAAUCUUUGUCGCAUCGCACAAAAAAAAAACACCAAAAGGGAAGA
rnacentral:sRNA from 1 species